CCUCUCCCCCAAUGCGCCACCACCUCCUCCUGAACGCGCCGCCGCUCACCGCCCCACACCGUCGCGGCUGGCCGCCCCACCACCACCCCGCCUCACCAUGAAGGCUACCUCCCUGCACAUCACCCAUGCCUUCCGGUGCACGACGACACACUGCCCGGCGUGCCGUCUCCCCCGUUGCUUCCUCGCCUCGGGUGCUGCUCCACCUUCCGGUCCUUGACGAGCCCCUGUGUAGAGGCUUCCUCCUCCUCCUCCUCUCAGACUCUUGGACUUUCACAUGCUCUGCCUUCAUCAUGUCGAUCUGCAACCCUAUUGUUGGCUUAGUGAAUGCUCAAGACACAGCAGCUCCCAGGCCGUUCACCGUCGGCACCAUAGUCCGUUCACCACCGACACCCAAGGCCGUUCACGGACGCAACGAUGAGAUUUGGCCGUCGUCACCCACGACCGCGCACUCGCAUCGCUCCAGCUUCAAGUAGUGUCCUCCUCUAGCUGCAUGUCACGUUCUCCUCCAGUUGCAGGCUAAUGCUAUGGUGCACAUUCAAGGCAGCAAGCAAACCACAGGUCGCAGCACCGCUGUCGACCACAUGUGCGCAUGCAUGCGAUUGAUGCGUGUGUGCUUUAGGUAUAACUGCGGCAGGACUACAGAAAUCUGUACAAACAAAGCUCAAACCAAAAGCUAAUGUACGUGUGAUGUCCAGUUUCUUCCUUCGGUUCAGUUCAAUUUAAUCCGUUCAAUAUGUGCAGUUUAAUGGAUGAGUGUUAUCUAGAUCCUUUUAAUCUGAAGGUAGUUGCACCACUAAGGAAAGUAAAAAAACCAGUAUUUUCUAUAGACAAGAAAUGGGCAUUUGGCUCAGUAAUCGUCCAUUACUAGAGGUAUUGUCACUUGACCAUUUUCCAGAACUAGUUUCAAUUCGUGGACUCUACCGGCACUUGCAAAAUCAAAGAGGCUGACCAUACCAAAGUGCCCAAAGUUGAAGCAAAGGAGAUGAGAUGCUACAAAAAAGAUUGUUGGCAUGAUUCUUGAAUUGGGGACUGGAGUUCAAGUAUUAAAUCCAGG